rnacentral:rRNA from 1 species
UAGAGUUUGAUCCUGGCUCAGAACGAACGCUGGCGGCAGGCCUAACACAUGCAAGUCGAGCGCACCUUCGGGUGAGCGGCGGACGGGUUAGUAACGCGUGGGAACGUGCCCUUUUCUGCGGAAUAGCCACUGGAAACGGUGAGUAAUACCGCAUACGCCCUUCGGGGGAAAGAUUUAUCGGAGAAGGAUCGGCCCGCGUUAGAUUAGGUAGUUGGUGGGGUAAUGGCCUACCAAGCCUACGAUCUAUAGCUGGUUUGAGAGGAUGAUCAGCAACACUGGGACUGAGACACGGCCCAGACUCCUACGGGAGGCAGCAGUGGGGAAUCUUAGACAAUGGGGGCAACCCUGAUCUAGCCAUGCCGCGUGAGUGAUGAAGGCCUUAGGGUCGUAAAGCUCUUUCGCUGGGGAUGAUAAUGACAGUACCCAGUAAAGAAACCCCGGCUAACUCCGUGCCAGCAGCCGCGGUAAUACGGAGGGGGUUAGCGUUUGUUCGGAAUUACUGGGCGUAAAGCGCACGUAGGCGGACUGGAAAGUUAGAGGUGAAAUCCCGGGGCUC